GGGUGAGUAACACGUGGAUAAUCUACCUGAUGGACAGGGAUAACAUCUCGAAAGAGGUGCUAAUACCAGAUAAGCCCACAGCAUCUACGGAUGCAGCGGGAAAAGGGGGCCUCUUCAUGAAAGCUUCCACCAACAGAUGAGUCCGCGGUCCAUUAGCUAGUUGGUAGGGUAAUGGCCUACCAAGGCCACGAUGGAUAGCUGGUUUGAGAGAAUGAUCAGCCACACUGGAACUGAGACACGGUCCAGACUCCUACGGGAGGCAGCAGUGGGGAAUAUUGCGCAAUGGGGGAAACCUUGACGCAGCAACGCCGCGUGAGUGAUGAAGGUUUUCGGAUCGUAAAGCUCUGUCAAGAGGGAAGAAACCCCGAUAGGCUAAUACCUUGUCGGAUUGACGGUACCUCUAAAGGAAGCACCGGCUAACUCCGUGCCAGCAGCCGCGGUAAUACGGAGGGUGCGAGCGUUGUUCGGAAUUAUUGGGCGUAAAGCGCGUGCAGGCGGUUGUUUAAGUCUGAUGUGAAAGCCCCGGGCUCAACCUGGGAAGUGCAUUGGAAACUGGGCAACUUGAGUACGGGAGAGGGAAGUGGAAUUUCGAGUGUAGGGGUGAAAUCCGUAGAUAUUCGAAGGAACACCAGUGGCGAAGGCGGCUUCCUGGACCGAUACUGGCGCUGAGACGCGAAAGCGUGGGGAGCGAACAGGAUUAGAUACCCUGGUAGUCCACGCCGUAAACGCUGGGUACUAGGUGUCGCGGGUAUUGACCCCUGCGGUGCCGAAGCUAACGCAUUAAGUACCCCGCUUGGGGAGUACGGUCGCAAGACUAAAACUCAAAGGAA
rnacentral:rRNA from 1 species